rnacentral:lncRNA from 1 species
CCAUCAUCAUCAAUUUUGAAACGGAGCUACAAUUUACAAAUCUGAAGCAUACAAGAGGAGUACAAGGCAAUCGAUCGGUGAUUUUGUGGUAUUCUGAUAGUUACACCAUCUAUAUUUUUGUUUCGUGAUAAGUAAUUUUGAAUUGAUUAGUAAAACCAAGAAUUUUGCUAGGGAAUUCAAUAAGAACCUAUUAGAGAGAAUAUUUUGAGGUAAAAGGCUUAGUGGUGAGAUUAAUUGAGGGUAAAAGCCAAUUUAUUGAGAGUAUACACGAGUGAACCAUUGAUUCGAGCGAAACACGUAAGGGAGUGGUGAGGAAAUUGUUUUCUACUAACCCUUAUUUUGUAGGAAAUAUGUCUAACUCGAAGGAUAAAGGAACUUAUGAGGAACAACCCUCAACAGUUGAAUUGAAAUUCCAGAUGGAAGCCAUGCAUAAAGAAUGGGAUCAAAGGUUGAGAAAAACUAUGGAGCAAAUGCAAUAACAAUUAGAAGAGAUGAGGAUG